rnacentral:misc_RNA from 1 species
UACGAGAGGUGCAAGCGUUGUUCGGAAUGACUGGGCGUAAAGCGCGCGUAGGCGGAUUUGCAAGUCAGCUGUGAAAACCCUGGGCUUAACCUGGGACGUGCAGUUGAAACUACAAAUCUUGAAUGCCUGAGAGGAUGGCGGAAUACCGGGUGUAGAAGUGAAAUUCGUAGAUAUCCGGUGGAACACCAGAGGCGAAGGCGGCCGUCUGGCAGUGCAUUGACGCUGAGGCGCGAAAGCGUGGGGAGCAAACAGG